UAUGCCUACGAGACAAUUUUGCCCUACUCCCAGGAUGUAUUUACACACAAGCCGCAAACAGAGACUUUAAACGGCAGGUCAACUCCCCUGAGCCAGGACCGUUGGGCGCCCCCUAUUAAACACCAACGGACAAUCAGUGCCCAGAUCCACAGGUCCGCUUCACCCGAACAAUACUACUGGGCGGGUAUUCACGAGACAGCGUUACAAGGACAAGGCUCACAAGCUACAGACCAGGCAGAUGCUAUAAUUAGGGUUGCCCAAAGACAUGUUCCCGAGUUCUCAGAGCUUCUUCAGAACAGCCCUCUUCAAAAAAGCCGAGACUCCUCGCCGGCUUAUAAAGACAUCCAAGAAGCUACACAUCUAGAUCCCGAGGAGGCGCCAAAGACCCCAGUCACCAGAACAGCGAAG